UUUACAGGUGACGACAGUCCAGCCUCAGACACUGGGACGCCACCAGAGCGGGCACAGGGGCCGGGAGCCCAGCCCUGCACCGGGAGACACCUUUCUCCCUUGUCUGUCCACGCAGGGAGAGACGCGGGAGACGACACGGCCACGGGUAACACAGGAUCCCCCACCGCCGCAGUCGUGGCGGCGGUGGCCUCCACCCUCUGCGCGCUGGGCCUCCUGCUCGGACUGGCCCUGCUCUGGAGGAGGUCCAGGAGACGCCGGGCCGCAGGGGCUGAAGCAGCACAGAGCACAGCAGGACAGGUGGACGACGUCCAGGGGGAGGGAGAGGUCCACUACGCCUCCCUGGGACACCAGGGCAAGAGGGACCCACGGCCCCGAGCCCAGGACGCGGACUCCAGCGUGGUCUACUCCUCCGUCGCCCGGCGCGGGACCGACUGAGCGAGCAGGCCGCGGUGGACCGGCGCCCUUCCGACCGUCCCAGCUUGAGUGAUGAACUGAAGAAGAGGACACUGCAGCGACGUCUCCUCACAUCCCGGGGGCGGGUGCGCUGUGAUUUGUACGGUUCGGUACUUAUUUAAUAUUUGACACCGUGAGUUUCUCAAUAACACUUGUAAGACGGCAGACUGCGCUGUCCGGACACGUGUCUUUGAUUUUACGGUCCUGCCCCGAGUCGUCAGAGUUACGCCACUGUGCGCUGUCUGCAGGCUUGCCUCGCUGCUUGGGUCUGUCAUACACACAGGUGCAGGUGCUCUCUGGGAACCCACACAGGUGAACUAAUACAGGAGCUCUCUGGGAACUAAUACAGGAGCUCUCUGGGAACGGGCACAGG
rnacentral:lncRNA from 1 species